AACCUCCGCAAUGCUCGAAAGAGCGACGGGGGGACCCCCAGUGCCGUGGCAACGCCACGGCUUUUCCGGAGUGUAAAGAGCUCCGGGAAUAAGGGCUGGGCAAGGCCGGUGGCAGCCGCCGCGGUAAUACCGGCGGCCCGAGUGGUGGCCGCUAUUAUUGGGCCUAAAGCGUCCGUAGCCGGGCUUGUAAGUCCCUGGCGAAAUCCCACGGCUCAACCGUGGGGCUUGCUGGGGAUACUGCAAGCCUUGGGACCGGGAGAGGCGGAGGGUACUCCNGGGGUAGGGGUGAAAUCCUAUAAUCCCAGGAGG
rnacentral:rRNA from 1 species